rnacentral:rRNA from 1 species
UGGGGAAUAUUGCACAAUGGGCGCAAGCCUGAUGCAGCCAUGCCGCGUGUAUGAAGAAGGCCUUCGGGUUGUAAAGUACUUUCAGCGGGGAGGAAGGGAGUAAAGUUAAUACCUUUGCUCAUUGACGUUACCCGCAGAAGAAGCACCGGCUAACUCCGUGCCAGCAGCCGCGGUAAUACGGAGGGUGCAAGCGUUAAUAGGAAUUACUGGGCGUAAAGCGCACGCAGGCGGGUUGUUAAGUCAGAUGUGAAAUCCCCGGGCUCAACCUGGGAACUGCAUCUGAAAAUGGCAAGCUUGAGUCACGUAGAGGGGGGUAGAAUUCCAGGUGUAGCGGUGAAAUGCGUAGAGAUCUGGAGGAAUACCGGUGGCGAAGGCGGCCCCCUGGACGAAGACUGACGCUCAGGUGCGAAAGCGUGGGGAGCAAACAGG